CAAGUGGGGUUCCAAUGUUUUUGUCGCACUGCUAGCGGCGUCAUAUCCCAUCAGUAGCUUGUACAAUGUGACAGAUGACAAACUUGAAUUCGUACCCGAGAGGGGUUUCAACUUUCAAGGUAGAAGAUAUUUAAUUACCGCUUCGGAUUUUAGAGGGGAAAUGCAAACGCUCGCGGGUAAGUCUGAAAUGCAGAUUCUUCAAGCAAUUUCUCCAACAAUGCUCUGUUGAGGCAAUUGAGGCAAGUCUGAAAU